rnacentral:tRNA from 1 species
AGAAGUUUAAGUUAACAUUCAAACCCCGGGCCUUCAAAGCCCUAAACCGGGACUAAUCCCUAACUUCUG